GCUCGCUCAUCUUUUUCUACACAACAGUACUGCUGCUUCCUCUCCGCGCCGCCGCAGGCCGCCUCAGCUUCCUCUCCACGCCGCCGCAGGCUUUGCCCCGAUGCGCCGGCUACCCGACGCCCGCCGUGAGUCCGGUGCGCCACCUCCCCAACACGCGGCUAGCCUUGCCUCGACGCGCAGUUGGCCUUUCCCCGAUGUGCUGCCGGCCCGACACCCCGACGCAUGGCCGCGCCGAGCCCGAGGCGCCACCGGCUGACCGCCUGACACAUACGGCCGUCCCGAGCCCGACACGCCGCCGCCCCGACCUCUCAACCCUCUGCACUGUGGGGUUCGUGAAGAUCGUCGACGCCAGCACCAGCUGAGGGAUUUAUACAGUCUGUGAAGUGCAUAUAUUUGGAUAUGCUAGAUCAAAUCUUUCUGAUGAUGGGCUAAGAGAACGCAUUCGUGGGUAUCUCAAAGGAGCCCCAGAAGAUCUUUCAGAAUUUUUGCAAUUGGUGCUCCACCGGCCUCCACCACGGGCAUCCGCGCUACCGGCCGCUGGACCCCGUCACUGGGAUCUCCGCAGCAGGCCGCCGCGCCCCUACCACGGGGAGCAUCCGCCGCUGCCGACGCUCACGCUGCCACCCACAAAACAUGGAUGGCAAUGAGGCAGCAUGACGGCAUGAGGUUGCCGCUGCCGCCCCCCAACCCGCCGCCACACCGGCUCCUCGGGCGAGGCCGGAUCCGGCCUCACCGGCCCUAGAUCCGGCGCCACCACCCUCGGGGCCGGGGCGCACGCCGCCGCCGCUAGUAGACGCACGUCCGCCACCCGGCGCGGUGAGAGAGCAGAGACGGGGAUGCGCGACGAGGGGAGCCGCGGCGGGGCGGCUCACCGCCGGCAAGGAUGGGGGCCGUCGCCGAAGGCUGUCGAUCUGGGAGCUUGGGAUGCCAAGGUGAAGAAGAAUGUGCAAGAGGAGAGUGCCUCGCCGCCACCAUCCUCGCCGCCGCACAGGCUUCUAGCGGCCGGCUCUAGUGGCGGCGUGGCGGGGGAGAGAAGAAGGGGGCCUGGACGGCGGCGGCUAGGGUUGCUGCCCGAGGGGGGCGGCGCGGGGGAGAGAGAAAGUCGGAACCUAGUAAAAAACUUUUUUUUAAUCACAGAAAGCGAUUAUACUACUUCUAUCUAAAAGUAAACGCAGUGGAUUUACAGUUUGAGCACGUUUCUUCCAUGCGUGAGGCACUCGAGCCUACGCUGCUGUGAUUCCAUCGCCAGCAGCCGGUGUGCUCGUGACGAGCACGUAUGGCGGCCGCCAGACCUCGCUAUAGUGGUGGAUCCUCCCCUGGGAGCUAUGCCUGUAUAGAGAUGGCUUUCAUGCAGAGCUCAUGGCAUGGGCACGAGACCGGCUACAAGCUGCUGGUGCUGUGAGGAUGAGCAGAGUUGUCCUGGAGACACACGCCGCCAUUAUGGUGAAGCAGGCCAUCGACGGUUCAGCUUUCGACCUCUCAUGUAACCUAAUCUCCGAACUCAACCAUGUCAUUUGUCAUUACCAUCAACCUAAUCUUGACCUGGGCUCCGACUUGACAAGUUGAUAGUCGAAGGAGCACCUGACUGUAUUUGUGUAUGGGUCGCCGGCGAGUUGCUCGCUCAAGUUGAACAUUGUUUGCUACUUCCC